rnacentral:rRNA from 1 species
UACAGAGGGGGCAAGCGUUGUUCGGAAUUACUGGGCGUAAAGGGCGCGUAGGCGGCCCGCUAAGUCGAACGUGAAAUCCCCGAGCUCAACUCGGGAACUGCGUCCGAUACUGGUGGGCUUGAAUCCGGGAGAGGGAUGCGGAAUUCCAGGUGUAGCGGUGAAAUGCGUAGAUAUCUGGAGGAACACCGGUGGCGAAAGCGGCUUUCUGGUCCUUAACUGACGCUGAGGCGCGAAAGCAUGGGGAGCGAACAGG